rnacentral:lncRNA from 1 species
AUGCUGGGCAAAGGCAACAAGAAGCGGUGCAGCAUUACCGAUGUCCUGCAGCAUUACAAAGCUGUGAUCUUCGAGGAGAUCCAGAUCUUGAAAAACCUGACGGGCCCCACGGGCUCCAGGAGGCGGGGAAGAGGGAAGACCGUGGGGCUGCCCUGCCGCUCUGAUAAGGAACAAAAAAUCCUGCUGUCCAUCUACACUAUGGGGCUUUCCUUGAGGCGCGAGGUGGCCAGCACCCAAAGAAACCCUCUAGGGAAGACGGUGUUGAGGGUGGCCGUCCACACGGAAUCUGUGAUCAAAGAAAAUUGCCGGAGGAUUCACCAGCAAAGCCAGAAACAAAUGAACAAAGAGCAGAAAAAGCCAGUGCUGUCCACUGAGCCCCCGAAGCCCCAGGAAAAGGGGAGUCAGAAAAGACGUCUGAAACAAAUGGUGGAGCGCUUUGCCGCAUGCUGGGAGAAGCUGUACUCGCUCCACUCCCGGCUAGAGGACACUCCGGGCCCCUAGCCCGCCAGCUGGACUCUCCUCCCGGGACGAAGCCACUCGGCUCCCCGCACCUGGUGCUCGGGACAUCUGUGAGCGAAGGGGCUUGCGACAUGACCUGAUGGAACUUAACCUCUCCCCGUUCCCACCCCUUCCUUCAAUUUCCUUAACAAACUGAGAGGACCAUCCUUGGGAUCUUCCUGCUCCCUGCCUGGUCUCACCAGGGGAUGAGGGGAGGAGGGGUGCUGGAAGCCAGGGAGAAGCCUCCACCCUCUCCCACCCCUGUACUGUGCUGACAUUUUGGGUCUCCCUUUGCCUGAGGCCCGGUGGUUCAGCUUGUGGUAUUUAGGGGUGAGUUUAGCAAAUGGAGGUGAAGAGUCAGGAUGAAAGCUCAGAGAGGUCUGCGGUGGGCUGCAUUGCUGAAGGUGCUCAAGAACCCUCCCAGAGCCUUGGAGUGAGGUCACAGAGGACCAGUGGGGUAGGGCUAAUGGAGCCCUGGCUAAUUCUUGCAAGUUUCAGCUCCUUGGCUUCCCUCCUUGUCAUGUCUCAGUUAUUCUCUCCUGAGCCGGCUGUUCCCUUGCCGGCUGAUUUGCCCCUUGCUUCCUCAAUGCCAGCAAGGGGGAUGAAAUUGGAAAAGUCAUGGGGACCAGAAAGACCUCAGUCCAUUUGAAAAAGAAUUCCCCAUCUCCCUGCAGGAUGGCUUCCUGCCGCACUAAGAUGCCUGUAGGAAGAGGACAGAGUUCCAGGAAGAAGCGAAACUCGGGAGGAAGUGAGUCUGGAGAGUUGGUAGAGGGGAGGGAGAGCUUUGCCUGAGGCCCCAGCUUGGUCCUCUGGACCUAGGGAAGGGGUUGCCUUCUGGGAAGUGAAUCGAAAUGGUUUCCGGCCUCUAUCGUCUCCACCUGGCACCCUAUCCUUCCAGGUUCCUCGGGGAGCACCAGUUCAGCAGCUUGGCUAAGAUGCUCUAAAUUCUUCUCUUGCUUCAGUUGGAUGGGAUUGUCAUCUUUCCUGAUACUGCCUGUCUUCAGCCUGCACCAUUUUUCAGUUAUGAUGGUUGCUGGGCCUCUCCUCAGAGUCGGCUGCAUCUCCAGGGUAGGUGAAGUCUUCCCAACAAGGUGUUGACCACUAAGCCCAGUGCCUGCAAACUAUCCUGGAUCUGGGUGAAUGAGUUUGCCACAAGCACAGAUGGGCUCCAUUGGCAAGACAAACAGAGGAAUCCUUCGGGAUUCAGCCGAAGUGGGAGGGCAGGAUUUGGUGACUCUUCCUUCCCUUGGCCCUCUGAGUCCUGUACCAGUCCUCCAGGGUUUGCAGUUGCUGGAGGGUUGGUGGUGGGGAGAAGAGAGAGAACGAGAACCAAUACACCCUGGGCAAGGGCUUGGAAGCCAUAGCGAGAAGGGCACGAUCAACAUGGGGGCUGAUGGGAAAUGUUUGGGGGCCUCCUGGUCUUACGUCGUCUGCUACAUGUAUUGUGAAUAAACAAAGUUCCGGUGCUAAAGAUGGUGCUUCUACCCAGAACACUCGUGGGGGUGGGGCGGAGGGAGAGGGUAGCACAGGAUCCCUGAAAAUACCCGUUUCCUCCCUCUAAAAUGAACAACUUGCAGAAUACAUGAGAGGGCACCAUUACCCAGACCGACGGUGACCUUGGGGAUCCUGCUGGAAAUAGGGAAGGGAAGCCACAGCCCACAUUCUUAAAACAUCACAGUGCUAGUCUCAUAAAUCUGCCUGCGAUUUAUGCCCCCACAGGCCUUUCCUACUGAGGCCUGCAUUUUCCGGCCUAUUGUCAUAUGACCACAGUCUCUUUGAUCUGCUGGAAGUUGGGGUCUCUAUAAGUGGGGUUGCUCUGAUGCAAAACAUUACUCUCCACUCUGGGGCUAAUUGAGGCCCUUUAAGGGGUUUUCUAGGCCCCGAGGAGUCUCAGAUGUGACCCUUCCCUGCCCCGCCUCUGUGCAGCACCUGUCUUCCCCUGGCAGAAGAGCCACCUUUCAUUCAUUCAUUCAUUCAUUCAUUCAAUAGUAUUUAUUGAGCACUUACUAUGUGCAGAGCACUGUACUAAGCGCUUGGAAUGAACAAGUCAGCAACAGUUCUGGCCCAAGGCUUGGAAUGACUUUGGGAUUUCUCUCCAGGUCAUAAAAUCUCAGCACUAGCUGGGUAAACCAUCCAUCUAGGAAGGAAAACACUGCCAGAAGCCUAGGCAAUUGGGGCUCAAAUGCACUGAAUUAAUCGUGGAAACAGCCUCCUGACUGGUGAAAGGUGAGAAGACCGGGAAAUCUGGUCUGGGGGUUUGUGUUUUGCUGUCCGGUGUUUGUAAUCACCUUUUCAAAGCCUGGUAGUAAAUUUUCUUUCCUAAUAGCUUCACCUGUCUCUAUUGCUUUCCACUUUCCAGAGUUUCAACCCCUUUUCUGUGAAAUGGAGAGUACGAGAGCAACGAUUAGA